rnacentral:rRNA from 1 species
UGCAGUCGAGCGCACUCUUCGGAAGUGAGCGGCGGACGGGUUAGUAACGCGUGGGAACGUGCCCUUCUCUAAGGAAUAGCCUCUGGAAACGGAGAGUAAUACCUUAUACGCCCUUCGGGGGAAAGAUUUAUCGGAGAAGGAUCGGCCCGCGUUAGAUUAGAUAGUUGGUGGGGUAAUGGCCUACCAAGUCUACGAUCUAUAGCUGGUUUGAGAGGAUGAUCAGCAACACUGGGACUGAGACACGGCCCAGACUUCUACGGAGGGCAGCAGUGGGGAAUCUUGGACAAUGGGCGCAAGCCUGAUCCAGCCAUGCCGCGUGAGUGAUGAAGGCCUUAGGGUCGUAAAGCUCUUUCACCAGGGAUGAUAAUGACAGUACCUGGAAAAGAAACCCCGGCUAACUCCGUGCCAGCAGCCGCGGUAAUACGGAGGGGGUUAGCGUUGUUCGGAAUUACUGGGCGUAAAGCGCACGUAGGCGGACUAAUCAGUCAGAGGUGAAAUCCCAGGGCUCAACCCUGGAAUUGCCUUUGAUACUGUUAGUCUAGAGUUCGAGAGAGGUGAGUGGAAUUCCGAGUGUAGAGGUGAAAUUCGUAGAUAUUCGGAGGAACACCAGUGGCGAAGGCGGCUCACUGGCUCGAUACUGACGCUGAGGUGCGAAAGUGUGGGGAGCAAACAGGAUUAGAUACCCUGGUAGUCCACACCGUAAACGAUGAAUGCCAGUCGUCGGGUAGUAUACUAUUCGGU